AUUGAACGCUGGCGGCAGGCCUAACACAUGCAAGUCGAACGAGUGGCGGACGGGUGAGGAAUGUCUGGGAAACUGCCUGGUGGAGGGGGCUAACUACUGGAAACGGUAGCUAAUACCGCAUACCAUCGGAUGUGCCCAGAUGGGAUUAGCUAGUCGGUGGGGUAAAGGUUCACCUAGGCGACGGUCCCUAGCUGGUCUGAGAGGAGGACCAGCCCCAUUGGAACUGUGACACGGUCCAGACUCCUACGGGAGGCUGCAGUGGGGAAUAUUGUACACUGGGCGCAAGCCGGAUGCAGCCAUGCCGCGUGUAUGAAGAAGGCCUUCGGGUUGUAAAGUACUUUCAGCGGGGAGGCGUUACCCGCAGAAGAAGCACCGGCUAACUCCGUGCCAGCAGCCGCGGUAAUUC
rnacentral:rRNA from 1 species